CUCUGUGGUGUCUAUAGAUGGCCUUGGGUGACACGCCUGCCGCGCCGCCUGCCCCACCGCUAUACCGCUUAUUUUUCUUUGCUAUAUUUCGUUGGCUGCAAAGGAGACAAACAUGAGUUUUGGAAGUCCCGAAAGCAGCAAGGAGUUUCCUGGACUUUAUGGUCACGAGAGACAUUCUGGCAGCGACUCUGAGGUGCCGACAGGCAAACAGCUGAUUGGAAAACGGAAAGACAAGAAGGACAAAGACAUUGGCUACGCCGCUCUGGGCGAGAGCUCCGGCGACGAUGAUGAGGAUGGAAGGUAAGUUUAAUGCAUUACUAUAGUCAGCUUCUUUAUAGCCUGUCUUAUCACUAAGCGCUGUAAUGAAAAACGUACGUGAAGCCGGCAAACUUGUGCCGUGACCAAAAAUCAAGAUCCACGAUUCUCAAGGUCCCACGGCAAAUUCAAUUUUUAGAAUCCAAGGUUUCCAAGGUCCCACGGCAAGUAUACAUUGCAGGAUCCACAGUCCCAAAGGUCCCACGACAAGUAUAACUUUCAGGAUCAACAGUCCCCAAGGUCCCACGACAUCUCAGAAUCCACAGUAUCCAACAUAUUCAUGACCCAUGGGUGUAACUUAAUAUCUCCUAUGGAAUGCCUGAACACUAGACGACUGCGUGCGCCGGCUGCAGCCGAGGCUGGCUGCAUCCCCACGGCUAUGGGGCGGGGCGGCUGCAAAUAUCUCCAAGAACACGGCUACGGCUGUGGCCACGGCUGUGAUAUUUCAAGCUCAAUCUUAUAUGUAGAAUAUCCAAGACAGUUAGGAUGAAUGAUAACAAUAACAAGUCAAAUGUAUAUUUAGACACACAAAAGUCGAGGCUCGACCUCCCACUUAUCCGGACCAAAAAAUUGAAAUGGAGUGCGCUCAAGAGCAAGUCAGAAAGGUAGAAAACGCCGUAUAUCAUGUGUGUUGGCAUUCUUCUGCAUUUUACCUAGUCAGCGACAUGGAUAUUAGCUUUUAGCAUAACAUUCUGUCAGCAGGAUGAGUAUCACUCAGGUAGCAAUUUUUGGAUAUGUUGCGCUAGGAAAGUGUUUUAAUAAAUGUUUAUGCAACGAAUGUAUUGAUUCGUUGAAAGAUCACAAGCUGAAGCGAGAACGCAUUUAUACGGUUUACGUGGAAGUAACACCGAAGAAAGCCUAUGGAGACUGCAACGCCUGAAAUGGUCAGGAAAGGGUUACGAUAGACAAGGUGCGCUGGUUCUUAACAUUAAAUGAUUUUUUUAUCAUCAUUUCAUGUCAUAAUAAGGCUAGAUGCAAGUGGUUUUUGCUAUAGGAAGUGAAUUGAUUUUUUUUACCCCACUUUCGAGACACCUAUAAUGAGCUUUUAACGGUGCACGGUAAGCGCAGCCUGACAUAUUUUUCGUACGGCGCGCCCCUAACCCCCAACAAACAAACAAACAAUACUUUUCGUAUUUCUGAUACAUUUAACUUUAAAUUCUUGUCCCCAA